rnacentral:rRNA from 1 species
AGCGAACGCUGGCGGCAGGCUUAACACAUGCAAGUCGAGCGGACCUUUCGGGGUCAGCGGCGGACGGGUGAGUAACGCGUGGGAACGUGCCUUCCGGUUCGGAAUAACCCUGGGAAACUAGGGCUAAUACCGGAUACGCCCUUAUGGGGAAAGGUUUACUGCCGGAAGAUCGGCCCGCGUCUGAUUAGCUAGUUGGUGGGGUAACGGCCUACCAAGGCGACGAUCAGUAGCUGGUCUGAGAGGAUGAUCAGCCACACUGGGACUGAGGCACGGCCCAGACUCCUACGGGAGGCAGCAGUGGGGAAUAUUGGACAAUGGGCGCAAGCCUGAUCCAGCCAGGCCGCGGGAGUGAUGAAGGCCUUAGGGUUGUAAAGCUCUUUUAUCCGGGACGAUAAUGACGGUACCGGAGGAAUAAGCCCCGGCUAACUUCGU